rnacentral:rRNA from 1 species
CCCCAGUAACGGCGAGUGAAGCGGCAACAGCUCAAAUUUGAAAUCUGGCCCCCCCCCGGGGGGCCCGAGUUGUAAUUUGCAGAGGAUGCUUUGGGCGAGGCGCCUUCCGAGUUCCCUGGAACGGGACGCCACAGAGGGUGAGAGCCCCGUCUGGUCGGACGCCGAGCCUCUGUAAAGCUCCUUCGACGAGUCGAGUAGUUUGGGAAUGCUGCUCAAAACGGGAGGUAUAUGUCUUCUAAAGCUAAAUACCGGCCAGAGACCGAUAGCGCACAAGUAGAGUGAUCGAAAGAUGAAAAGCACCUUGAAAAGGGGGUUAAACAGUACGUGAAAUUGUUGAAAGGGAAGCGCUCGUGACCAGACUUUGGGGCGGGCGGAUCAGCCGGCGUUCUCGCCGGCGCACUCCGCCCGUCCCAGGCCAGCAUCAGUUCGCGCCGGGGGACAAAGGCGGCGGGAACGUGGCUCCCCAGGGAGUGUUAUAGCCCGCCGCGCCAUGCCCCGGGGGCGGACUGAGGGCCGCGCAUCACUGCAAGGAUGCUGGCGUAAUGGUCACCAGCGACCCGUCUUGAAACACGGGCCAAGGAGUCGUCCUCGUAUGCGAGUGUUCGGGUGUCAAACCCCUACGCGGAAUGAAAGUGAACGUGGGUGAGAGCUUCGGCGCAUCAUCGACCGAUCCUGAUGUUCUCGGAUGGAUUUGAGUAGGAGCAUACGGGGCCGGACCCGAAAGAAGGUGAACUAUGCCUGUGUAGGGUGAAGCCAGAGGAAACUCUGGUGGAGGCUCGCAGCGGUUCUGACGUGCAAAUCGAUCGUCAAACAUGGGCAUGGGGGCGAAAGACU